rnacentral:rRNA from 1 species
AAACUAAAGAAUUUGGCGGCAUUUCAGUCCUAUUAGAGGAACUUGUUCUGUAAGUGAUAAUCCACGGUUGGUUUGUCCUAUUUUUGUGUGUCAGUUUGUAUACCGUCGUCUUUGAUUACUUCUAGAGUUUGUUUUCAUAAUAGUUAUUCAUUGUAUUACAGAUCAAGGUGCAGCUAAUAAAUAGGGUAGAAAUGAGUUACAAUAAUUUAAAUUACUAAUUUUAUUUUAAAAUAAAUGAAGGUGGAUUUAGGAAUAAUAAUUUUUUAGAUAAAAUCGUGAAUAAUUAAAUGCUCUAAAA